GAUGAACGCUGGCGGCGUGCCUAACACAUGCAAGUCGAACGGGGAUUACGGACGGAAGUUUUCGGAUGGAAGCCUGUAAUUCUUAGUGGCGGACGGGUGAGUAACGCGUGGGCAACCUGCCCUAUACAGGGGGAUAGCAGCUGGAAACGGCUGGUAAGACCGCAUAAGUCGGUUAAAUCGCAUGAUUUGAUCGGGAAAUGAGCAAUCAGGUAUAGGAUGGGCCCGCGUCCGAUUAGCCAGUUGGCAGGGUAAAAGCCUACCAAAGCGACGAUCGGUAGCCGGACUGAGAGGUCGGACGGCCACAUUGGGACUGAGACACGGCCCAAACUCCUACGGGAGGCAGCAGUGGGGGAUAUUGCACAAUGGAGGAAACUCUGAUGCAGCGACGCCGCGUGAGUGAAGAAGUAUUUCGGUAUGUAAAGCUCUAUCAGCAGGGAAGAUGAUGACGGUACCUGACUAAGAAGCCCCGGCUAACUACGUG
rnacentral:rRNA from 1 species